AUUGAACGCUGGCGGCAGGCCUAACACAUGCAAGUCGGACGGUAGCACAGAGAGCUUGCUCUCGGGUGACGAGUGGCGGACGGGUGAGUAAUGUCUGGGGAUCUGCCCGAUAGAGGAGGAUAACCACUGGAAACGGUGGCUAAUACCGCAUAACGUCGCAAGACCAAAGAGGGGGACCUUCGGGCCUCUCACUAUCGGAUGAACCCAGAUGGGAUUAGCUAGUAGGCGGGGUAACGGCCCACCUAGGCGACGAUCCCUAGCUGGUCUGAGAGGAUGACCAGCCACACUGGAACUGAGACACGGUCCAGACUCCUACGGGAGGCAGCAGUGGGGAAUAUUGCACAAUGGGCGCAAGCCUGAUGCAGCCAUGCCGCGUGUAUGAAGAAGGCCUUCGGGUUGUAAAGUACUUUCAGCGGGGAGGAAGGCGAUAAGGUUAAUAACCUUGUCGAUUGACGUUACCCGCAGAAGAAGCACCGGCUAACUCCGUGCCAGCCGCCGCCGUAA
rnacentral:rRNA from 1 species